GUUUCGUGACCUGCUGAAAGAAGUGUCAAGUGUGAUGCAAAUUCUUACUCUGAGUGCACACAACUGCAGGCCACUGGAAAAACCGGAGGUUAUCAGAAAAGGCCUGUUUUUCAGAUUUCAUCUUGGAGACCAUUAAUCCUAAUGAUCAUGAUAUGAUAAUUCCUUCCACAAGAAGAUAGCUAAUUUGGUUAGACUCUGCUGGGAUUCUGAUCCUUAUGGAACAGUCUGGAACAGCUGCCUGGGCCAUCUGAGAAGUACACCAGCUCUGCUCAGGGCUUCGUGCGCUGCCUGCUGCCCCCCCCAGGGUGUGCUCACUUCAGCUGACUCUGCUGGUUCUGAUGGGAACACAACAGACAAGGCAGAGUACUUGGAGGUUAGUCUGUGGUCAGACCCCAGGGCCUGAUUUGCAAGAGCAGGAAGGCACUACCUGGGAAGGAUACAUAUAGAGUCGGCUCAUCAGGAGGGGUGUCUAGGCUGGCAGAGGGUGGAAAGGUGGAAGAGGGUGCCCAGGAGGAAAGCCGGAGUGGCCCUGGAGAUGGGAGCAGGUGGGUGCUGGCAUGGGACUGCUUGCUACCCUUAGUGUGGAGAAGUGGGCGAGGCUUUCCUUGGACUCGCAUUUCACUUCUCAGGGGACAGAUAGCUGUCCCUGUGUGCUUUGGAGGAGGAGCCAGGUGCCCUCCUUGCCAUUCAGAUGCUGGCCACAGUUAUCCACACCACACUCAUUCAACCUGCACUUCACAGGCGCCAUGUGGAGUGAGAGCCGGGCUUUCUGUCCACCUAGUGAUGGAUCUGGCAGACAGGAUGCUGCUAAGUCUUGGGGCUGGGCUGCUCCUGGGGGGGGGGGGGGCGUGAGCAGCAGCCUGGACUGGAGGAAGCCAGACCUCAGAGUAGCUUCUAAUCAGAGACCUGGCUGAAGGUCAGUGCUUCUGGGUACUGAUGGGGUGGCCAGCACCACGGAGAUGGAAAUGACCCCUCUGCCUUGGGCCCUGUGAUGGCUCCAGGGUGACGAGGGCAAAGAAAUGGUAGCUGAUGGUGGGCUCGCCUUCUGCUACAUGCACCCCAGAGCCGGCCCUGCCUGAGGCCUCAGGAUGGCCUCGUAUCAGAGGGGAAUGAGGUGGCUGGAGGCUGAGCCAGGUCACUCUGGGUUCUGUCCUCCAAGGACCUUUCCAGACAUUCUUUCUGAAUGUCCAGAGGUGAGCUCAAGUGCUAAAUUCAGCUGCCUUUGAAAUCAUAAAACAGGGUCAACAAGCACUGGUGUCUUCCGCAAGCAAAGCAAGCCAUGGCACCAUGCAGUCAGUGCCGGGUUCUGAGUCUGCAGCACCCGAGUUCCACCCCAGCUCCACCCUCACCACUCUGGGCAUCUGAAAACCAAGGCUGUGGUUGUGCUGUGCCCUGGGGUUCCUGUGAAAAUUGCCUGAGUUACAGCUGUCCCUCAGUAUCCCUGGGGAUGUCUCAGGAUGUUCAAGUCCCUCCCAUAAAAUUAUGCCACAUCUUCCUGUGUACUGGAAGCCAUCUGGAGUUCUUCUGAGUAUAAUGUGAGUGUUGUCUGCGCAGUUGUUACACUGUGUCAUUUGUUUAGGGAAUAAUGUAAAAAGUGGUCUGUACAUAUUCAGUGUGGACACAGCAUUUUCCCAAGGUUUCGGGUCUGCAGCUGGUUGAAUCUGUGGAUGUGGCUGAUAUUUGGCUCAGGUAACAGAAGUGUCGAGUGGCUUGGCGUUUUUUCCAAGGGUAGUCACCUCUCCCUUCAGUCUCAUGCAUGGAGCUUACUUGACAGGAUAUUGGGCUCUUUCCGAACUUUGUGCAAAGCCCAGGUAUUCCACCUGCAGACCCCUGGACACACCACUCUGGGAGAAUGCCCUGAGAAGGAUCGUGUGGCACCCCUUGGUGCUGUGAGGUGGGGUUAAGGACUCCCAAGAGACCAGAGGUCUCAUUUGUGCACCUGCCCCAGCUCUUCAGCCUUCCACCCCAAGUCAUGUCUGCUCAGGUGUGCCACCCCACAUGGCCCACUUAGACAGAGUGGGCCUGGGCCAGGUCAUCAUCCUGUAGGUUCCCAAGAAGUGUCCCAGUUUGCUGAGCACCUCACCUGCCAUAGGUUUUGCACUAUGAAUGACCUUACAACAAUACAAAGUAAGCAGUUCGUUACUGGAUCCUGGCUUCUCACUGACGUUCCUUCACAGCAGUGGUCUGGUCAGGUAGGUUCUCACCUUCCCGUUUUACAAAGGUGAAAAACUGAGCUUCAGAGACUUUAGGUGACUGGCCCUAGGCCACACUCAUUUGUAGAGAUAUAGGUUCAAGGCCAAAUGUGGACAAUAUGGUCAGCUGCCUCGGCUGCCUGUGGAACUGGAGCUAGGACCAAGCUAGGACCAGGUUUCCUGACUGCUGCUUGCUGUCACUUCUCCUAGUCCAGGCUAGUUCUCUGUCACCAGGCGGAGGUGGGCAGGCUAGAGCAGGCUUUCCAGCCAUGGUGCUGGUGGGGAGAACACAAUUUUAGUUAAAGUUGCCAGAAGAUUUUCCUGUUGCCACAUAGAAAUAUGGAGGUUUUUCGCUUACUGAGCUCUGUUCAUCCCUCUUCUGAGGGCCUUGUCCCUGAGGGACUCAGAGACCAGCAACUUCAGCAGUUGCAGUGGUCAGGAAUAGUAUUUACAGCUUGCGGGGGACUCCUGCACAUUAGCUGCUCCUGGCAUCCUCCCCGGCACACACCCGCAUGUCUUCAGACAGGUCUUAGCGCCUCUGUAAGUUGACAGGGCUCUGGGGAAGCCCAGGGCUCUGGGGAAGCCCGCGGCUCUGGCAGCGUUAGCCUCAGCAGACUGCACUUCUUCUCAAGUUAGCUUCCUCUCUCUAAUGGUGCUGUUUACUCCAACUCUGCUGAGUCCAGUUCCUCUGGGACUUGAGAGCCCCCGGCACCCCCAGGGAGCCACCAACUGCCAGCAGCAGAUGGCACGGGCCAUCUCUGCAGCUCCAGCCUGACCAGCCGGCCGAGGCUUCCAACUGUGAGCUCAUCUCCUUGGAAGACAAACAGGGUUUAGCCAACGCUGACCUUGGCCUGUUGACCUUCAAAGACGGCGGCUUCAGGAGGAUGUUGUGGGCUUCCAGACCCCACGUGAAUCAUUCCUGACCCUUUGCCUUGGCUCAUGGGAAGGAAUCCAGAGUCCUGCCCGGGCUGACCUCCUGCUGGUAAGAUGGGAAGCAGGGGUCCUGACCACGACCUGAGAUGAUGUUGUGUCCCAGCCGUGGCCCACGUUCAAGACUUGCCUGCCAGCUCAUUAAUUCUCGCUGUCCUUUCAGAAGGAAGAGGACUGUGUCCUCUCUGCUGGGCUCUGAGCCCUUGCCACAUGAAGCAGCUACCCUCCCUCACCCCAGAAUCAGUCGGCACUGUGAGAAGAUUUAGGGAUGUUAUAAAACCAAGCAUGCAAACACCUGGGGAACAUGAAGCCAUGUACCCUGACUCAUAGAAAGCUGGAACUUUGGACUAAGCAUUGCGUCCUGCUUAGAGCAGAGUUCUCCUGCCUGGAGUCACCUGGGCCAUUCACAAGGUUGGGUGGGUAUCUGUGGUGGGAGGCGCUGUGCUGCUGUGCCUAGGUACAGGGGCAUUCCCCAAAGAGGGACCACCUCUUCUUUCUUGGGUUUGUUUGGUUUUUGACUUUUCCUGCCCUGCGACAGGCUGGCCUCUGAGGAGGCCAAUCCAACUUAGCUUGAACAAUGCUGGAUUUUUGCCUUCAUUCAAAAGCCUCUAAAAAGAAUACAAAUCAGCUUAACUUCCCUCUCCAAGGUCUGGCUGUGCUUCAUACACCUUUCAGUAACAGAAUGCAGCAAAUCUGUCCCAGCAAACGUGCGUAGGGCUUUGAUCUGAGCAGGCAGUUUAUGGACAGCUACAGCUGAUGCCCAGAGGGGCCCAGCAUGUUGCAAAAUCAAACACAGCCUAGAAAACAAACUGCCCCAGACUGGUAUCUGAAGUAGUAGCAGUCAGAGCAAAACUUGUCAGUUAAACCAGAAUCAUUUUUUCAUCAUAAUAUCCACUGCCUCCUGCUUCAGUACUUUCUCACAAUAUAAUGAGCCCAUAUACUUAUAUAUCAAUAUUUUAUUUUAAACCAGAGAAUAAAAUACAAGAUGAUUUUUUUUGUAUUUACUGUCUACUUUUCUGUUAUAUCGAUUUGAUAGCAACUAAAGAUUGAGUUACAGAAUGGUUGUUUUUUUAAUUCAUUUUUUAAAAUGGCUUUUAUUUUAAUUGGUGACAAAUGAGGAAGGGUGCAUGGCUUGGGGAAAUUCAGACUGAGGUCAUCAAAGUGGCCCAGAAUUUGGAAAUUUUUAUAAAAC
rnacentral:lncRNA from 1 species